rnacentral:tRNA from 1 species
CUCACCAUAGUUUACUAAAAACAUUGACCUGCAAAAUCGAAAAAGGAUGGAUUUUCCUGGUGUGU